GAGUUUGAUCCUGGCUCAGACCAACGGCUGGUCACCUUCUUUUAAGGGCGAAUUCCUAAAGCUGGCGCCCUUUAGUGAGGGGUUAAUUUUAACCUGGCAAUAGUCAAUCGCCGCUCGGAAACUGAAAUUAAUACCGGAUCAACCUUCAGGGCAUUUGAUGGGGGGAAAGUUCUGCCGGGAAAGGAUACCUCGCGGCCUAUCAGCUUGUUGCGGGGUAAUGGCCACCAAGGCUUCGACGGGUAGCCGGCCUGAGAGGGUGACCGGCCACACUGGGACUGAGACACGGCCAAACUCCUACGGGAGGCACAGUGGGGAAUAUUGGACAAUGGGCGAAAGCCUGAUCCAACAACCCCGUGAGGGGUGACGGCUUGGGUUGUAAACCUCUUUCACAGGACGAAACCGAAAGUGACGGUACCUGCAAAGAACACCGGCCAACUACUGCCACAGCCGCGGUAAUACCGUAAGGUGCGAGCGUUGUCCGGAAUUAUUGGCGUAAAGGGCUCGUAGGCGGUUUGUCACGUCGGAGGAAAACUCGGGGCUACCCCGAGCCUGCUUCCAUACGGGCAACUAAGGUAUGCAGGGGAAAACGGAAUUCCUGUGUAGCGGUGAAAUGCCCAUAUUAGGAGGAACCCCGGGCGAAGGCGGUCU
rnacentral:rRNA from 1 species